rnacentral:misc_RNA from 1 species
AAAGUCGUAACAAGGUCUCCGUUGGUGAACCAGCGGAGGGAUCAUUACAGAGUUGCAAAACUCCCAAACCACUGUGAACAUACCUGAAACCGUUGCCUCGGCAGGUGGCCCCAGGGCGGGGCCGCAGCCUCCUUGCGGAGGUGCCUGCCGCAGGUUACACAACUCUAUAUAUUUAGUGGCCCUUCUGAGUAUACUUUUGAGCAAUUAAAACUUUCAACAACGGAUCUCUUGGUUCUG